rnacentral:tRNA from 2 species
GCCCAGGUGGCGGAAUUGGUAGACGCGUUGGUCUCAAACACCAAUGCCCUCGGGCGUGCCGGUUCGACUCCGGCCCUGGGUA